rnacentral:tmRNA from 1 species
GGGGGCGAUCGGUAUCGACGGGAUAAAAGAUAUGUAAGAUUGCAUGCGGAGGAUAACAGUUCCCUCCUAAAUCAACUGUUACAACUAUAUAUGCCGAUUACGGCUACAUGGCUGCAGCAUAGUUCUAGCGGCCCGUUCCAAUCUAGAUGCGUCUAUGGUCUGAAUUAGGAGCGUCAUCAACAUAGGCUAGUCCUAAAAAUGUUUGCGAUUUUAGGAUGAAAAAUUAGCAGACUUGUUUGUGCGUAUUUUUGUCUCUGAUAUACGCAUAAAUGAAAACCUAAUCAGAAGACUAAGCUUGUAGAAGUUUUAUAUACCUUUAUUUCGGACGGGAGUUCGAUUCUCCCCGCCUCCAC